UUUAAGAAAGAAAAACCCUAUUGUGGAGGCAUCUUAUAUGUGUGUGUGUCUGGAUCAGAGUAGAAACUGAAGUAUCUAUUGCUGUUGAUAGACUUACCAGUCUGAGCCUGUACAUCACACACAGUUUUCAUUCCCAUGGCUAAUAAGUGUCCACCUAAUAAACCCUGAUAGAAGGGUACACGAGCACUUCUGCAUGCUCGUUGGCCAACUGUCCCUAACCAUGCAUCAGGCCCUGAGCACCCCUGGUGGCUGCUCCCUGCCUGACCCCACGCACAUGGAUGGGGAGCCACUGCCAGCACCUAAAAAUCCUUGGCAGCACCCAUCCAGACGUCAGUUAGUGCUAUCGGUAGCUCCUAAUAUUUGUCGCCUUCAAGUCAGCGUUUUCCCUCAGGGAGCCAGAAACUAACCGUGCUUUAUUCUCUGCUUCCCAGACACUAAGCUCGCUUCGCAGCCCGGCUCUAGCAGCCUUCCGGAGGGAACAUCCUCCCCAGACGGGCUGUGAGCUGCUAAUUGCAAGGGAAAUCCUGGCAGUGUCAGAGCCCGUGCCAAAACCUCCCUGACUGCAGCGAUGCCGGGAUCUCACCAGAUGUCCGGGCUGUUUGUCCAUCUGGGGGUUUCUCGCUCGGGAGGCCCUCUGGCCGGCCUUGACCUGCCUCAGGAGUCACGGCCCCUCUCGCAUCCUCGCAGAAGAAGGGCUGCUUCUGACGCAGCUCCAUCCCCCCUCCGUUCCCUCUGACGUAUCUUUGGCAUUUUCAGCAUGCUGCAGCCAGCAAGGAAGAGAAAUGUUAUCCAGCUGCUGCCGCCGGUGCUUUUCCUCUGCCUGUCACCCAGUCCUGGUGCUGGGCUCCCAGCCAUCAUCUGUGCAUCCUCACUUCACAUCUCAAGGGAGCCUCGUAGUGCCUGCACGGGAAGGUGGAGUGAGCCUCAAGGAACUUACUAGUGAAGGAGAGGCAGGAAUAUGAAAGUAAUUUAAUUUUUCAUGCGAAACUCUGUUAGGAACUAGUAGACUUUCCAAAAUGUAUUCCAAAGAAAUGCAGAGAUAGAUUCCCGACCGGCAUUAAUCAGUGCUGAUUAAGUCAUGGAGCUACCCAAUUUCUGCCUGGUUUCUGUCUCAGGCUUGGGGUGUAGGAAGACACCAGGAAGUGUUGCAAGGACCGUGUCCCCGAUGAGCUACAACCUGCAGAAAGGAUGGGCCCUGCGGCUCUCAGGAUAACUUGCUUUCUGCAGAGGAAGGGCAGCUGCCUCUGCAGUGACACCAGCAGCACUGGUUAGUGCAGUACAAGUAGAAACACCUUCAACUGAUGUUGCAGAGGCUGGACAGACAAUAUGAAGCAUAGGCUCCUAGGAAGUGGACACUCUGGCACGUGUGCCUCAGAACAGAAGCUCAGACCUGGAGAAAUAUCAGCAGGCACUGACUGAAGAGCUCACCUGAAUGAGCUACAUAUACAUCUGCUUCCACCUUCAGCUGCUAGAAAGCUAUGGACUGCAUUUGGUGUAAAGGAUUUAAAUGUUUUUGUCACAAUACCAUAUGCUGCAACUCUGCAGAAGAUGUGUGUAUAUUUUUACAAUGGCUUGGUGCUAUUAUUGUAAAAGUAAGCUGUUUCUGAAGCCCUUCUGUCAGUAUGGCAUAGGGUCUCCAACCAGCAUCCCGGGCAAGGUGUGACUGAGGAGAGACCUAAGGGAGAAGGGUUUCUAUCUUCUCCCCCUCCCUGCUUCCUGAACCUGUGCUCCUGGGAGAGCCAGCUGCAUCGCAAGGCCUGCCCCUGACCAUGAAGUCAACAAGAGGCUUGUUGUCCUCUGCAGGGAACCCCAUGGAAGCCUGACCCUGCCUCGAGUCCUCUUCCACCAGAGCCCAUGAGACAUCAGCCCCAACAGCUUCAUCUGGUCUCCUGAAGGGUCGUGCCAGAGGAUGACCUCCCCAGCAGUCCAGGAGGAGGCGAUUUCACAGCCCACAUCUGGCUGCCCUGCUGUCCCUGCCUCUCUUGCCAUGGGACUCUGCAAGCCCAGAGAGCGCUCCUCGUGCUUCUUGACAUUCUUGCCCUGCAGAGGCACCGGAGACACCACCUCUCCUCCCCUUUCUCCUGGCAUGCUGCCACCCAAACUCACCAGGCAGCUUCAGGGAUUUUUUUUUUGGCCUCUGGUGGGAAAUUUCCUUUGACCCUUUCAAGUGGGACAAGAACAGAUAUUAGAUUUGUUGACGAUGAAGUGCUUUUAUCUGGAUUCAACAAAAGAGGUACAAUGAAAAGACUGCAGCUGUUGAGCGAAGGCGCCGCACCUAUUACAGAGUUCAUACGCAUUUACAAGUGGCACAUCAGCGAAGGCUCUCCUCACCCCAGCAGAUGUACGCCCCUUCCACAGAAAACUUGUUAAUCUUUCCGUCAGCUCUGCAUGCUUUGCAUACCUCUGGGAAAACGUGGUGUUUGACUCUCUUGCCAGAUCUUGCAAUGAUAGAAGUGCUAUUAGCAGGUGAAAGCUACAUGGAAGCGUUUUAUCUUUCCGUAAGUCUUCUAGGUCUUCUUGCUGCAGGACGGGACAGCAAUUUAGAGCCCCAGAUAACUCGGGUUAUAACUAGAUUUUAAGAACACCACUGCCCUAUCGAAUACACAUCUACUUACACUCCCAGACUGCCUAUACGUGACACAGGGUGCAUAUAGAUAGAUGAUAGAUAGAUUUCGGGUAGGAAUAUAAUUAAAUUCUUACUUGUUUUUAUACACACACGAAGUCACGCAGCUACUAAAACAAUAUGUUCUAAAAUUAAGGUAGCAAAUCAACUCAGUCAGGAAGCAAGUAACUCAGACUUGGCAAAGGAGGCUGAAAAAAACGUUACUAUUGUCUGACAUCAUACAGCAACUGCACUUUAUAAUAAGGGCAAUAAAGCUUCUACUAACCAGAGAAAAUCCUGAUGAAAUUUGGGGAAGGAUAUAGCUUGCAGUCAAUCAAGUGUGCAAAAGUAGCAAUAAGCAUUUGCCCAAGUCCUAAUGAAGCAGGGACAUGAGAGCAUGGUUGAAAAGGAACUGCAAAUGCUUUGCAAGCUCCCCAGGGUGGCCCAGGCAGGGGACAACAAUAUUAGUGAAAGGUCAAAGAGAGCAUUACUGGCCUUGAAUACAUGCACUGUGAUAGUGACCAGUGCAGCCACCAAGGGCCAGGGUCCCCAGGGCUGCUUUAAUUUGUGCCGGACUGAAUUUCAUUAGAAGCCCCCUGAAAGCCCAGUCUUGCUGGAGCACGCUGCCUUUCCUCUCCCCAUGGCCCUUGUGUCCCACCACCCACAUUCAGGAAAGGGAACACACAGCAGGUGGGAUUCGGAUGUUUUGUAAUGGAGAAAAUGUUCAUACAGGGAGCAUUCAGUUCUUUUGCACUGAUUUCCAAACACUUGCCUUCCCCCAGUACGAGCCUUCCUAACUGCUGAAUGAAAUAUAGACAUGGCAUGGUAAUUUUGCAGCCUCCUUUAUGCAAAAAUGCUAUAGCAAAGGGAAGACACCAGGAUGAGGACAACAUGUUAGGAAGAAUUUCUUUACUGAAAGGGUUGUUAGACACUGGAACAGGCUGCCCAGGGAGGUGGUGGAGUCACCAUCCCUGGAAGUUUUUAAAAGACGUUUAGAUGUAGAGCUUAGGGAUAUGGUUUAGUGGGGACUGUUAGCGUUAGGUCAGAGGUUGGACUCGAUGAUCUUGAGGUCUCUUCCAACCUAGAAAUUCUGUGAUUCUGUGAGUUAUGUCAGUGAACAGUAACAAGAAUGAGGAAUACACAGGAAAACAACCACUGAGCUUUGCCUCAUUCCUACAACUUUUGCAUCUCACAACGUUCGCGUGCUUUAACCCAAGUCAGUGUUUGCCCCACUGACAUCAGUGGCUACAUGCUCCUAGAUUUCAGUGACAUGAACAUUUUCCCCUGGUUCUGUUCUGGUUCUUGUCUUUUCUGGCCUCUGACUUACUUUAUAGACACGCUGGAUCCUGUUGUGGUUGCCCUGUACCUUGUUUAGUUCAUGCCGUCUACACCAAGAAGUUCUGGAGUGCUUGCAGGCAACUUCAUGCUUAUAAUCCUCUGAAUUUGCUUGCACAAAAAUGACUGCACCACUGCAUGUGAUGGGGAAAGUCGAAGCCCAUGGGUCGCAGCAAAGCCUAUCACAGUCAGUGCAAACAUUGCCACAGUGUUAAACAGAUUUUGGACCUGACCUUGUGCAUUCAGGAGUGAAUUCUACUUAGCAUAUUGUCACAAAGGUUGUUCUCCACCGGGUUUCUUUUCUGUCAUCCUGCAGAUCUAUGGCAAAGUGUUGGCUCAGUGCCCAUUCAAGUCAGCCCCAUGGGCUAGAAGCUCCGCUCCUGCACAGCCUUUAGUGGUGUUAGCAUGCACCAGCAAUAACCACAGCUGUGGCAGGACAGAAAAACACCUCCAGCAAAGGUUCACCUAGGUCAAGCUGCUUUGCUGGGAUGACAGCAGAGCUCCAUCUCUGCACUGGAGGGGACUCUGGCAGUACGAGAGCUCAGGUGGAUGUUGGAGCAGCAACACCAUGCUGUGGCUGCUGCGAUGAGCUGAGGAUCAGCGUCAUCUCAGUCUUGGCGUUGUAAGCAAUCCUGUCUGCCUUUGCAGGAUUUGGGCUGGUGCUGAGAGGUGAGUUCCCCUCUGCAGGGCCUUGCAGCCUUUACUAAUGGAAAUGAGUUGCUGUGGUCAUGAUCCUGUUCACACCAUGGACUGCUAUCAGCAUUGCCAAAGUCUAGGCAGCAUCCCUAGCUCCUUUUUGAAGUCUUCUCUUUUUUUAAAAAAAUUUAAGGAUUAUACCUUACAAAAAUAAUCAUAAGGAUUUAAAUAAUAAUUUCUUCCUAGCACCUUGCUUCUUAGUAAAAUCUCAGAAAUAUACAUCACGUUCUUAUGCUUCCAAGUAAAAAGAUUUCUAGUUAGACUAAAACAAGGAAUUUUACAUUUCUGAUUUACUGUUUUUCUUCUUGGCUGAUCCUAGUUCAUCUUCAAGGCCUUGAGGAGUUAUAAUAUGCAGAUGAAGAACGGAGAAGUCACUCUCUGGCCCAGCACCCCCUGCCCCAGGACAUGGGAGGACACCUUCCUCACCUUGCUAGCUUCCAAGUCUGGAGCCCCUGGUGCAGAGAAGCAGCUCGUUGUUCAAGGUUCAGAGCGUUUUCAUGGACAAGUGGGGUCAUUGGCAAAGCUUGCAGCCAAACCAUGAAAGUUUUUCAAUUGACUUCAACACAACAUUUACUCUGCUCUGAUGAACAAAGCAAACGUUCAGUUAACUACUGACAUGCAGCUUCUGGUCCUAAUAUCGAAUCUUUUUGUUCUCUCUUUUUGUACCUUUACCAAAUAGUAGUAAAUUAUUUCAUGGGGUAACCUGACUUUCCUUCUCUUCCUCUGUCUUUCGAGAAAGUGCCUUCUAAGGGAGAGCUGCAGUUUGCAGAAAAGCCCAGGCACAACCAACAAGCAAGACCUAGUUAGAGCAAUCGGUGAUUUCAGGCUCCCUCCUCAUCCCAAGUGGCUCUGGCAGUUUCCUUUUAGUCUUCAGCAUUGCUCAUAUUAUUUACACAGCUGCUCCAGUAACUUUUUCUUGUUAUAUAUUUAUUUCUUACUAGUUGUGUUUUUUUAAUAUUAUGUAUAUAUUAAAUUUUUUCUCCCUUUAGAUUUUAGAACAGCAUCAGUUUAUGUUUACUGCCUUAAAAUGUGAUUUGCUUGUAAUUAAAAACACAAAUCUAACAGUGCCUAGA